rnacentral:rRNA from 1 species
UACAGAGGGGGCUAGCGUUGUUCGGAAUUACUGGGCGUAAAGGGCGCGUAGGUGGCCUGUUAAGUCGAACGUGAAAUCCCCGGGCUUAACCCGGGAACUGCGUCCGAUACUGGUGGGCUUGAAUCCGGGAGAGGGAUGUGGAAUUCCAGGUGUAGCGGUGAAAUGCGUAGAUAUCUGGAGGAACACCGGUGGCGAAGGCGGCAUCCUGGACCGGUAUUGACGCUGAGGCGCGAAAGCUAGGGGAGCAAACGGG